rnacentral:rRNA from 1 species
GUGGGGAAUAUUGGACAAUGGGGGAAACCCUGAUCCAGCGACGCCGCGUGAGUGAAGAAGUAUUUCGGUAUGUAAAGCUCUAUCAGCAGGGAAGAAAAUGACGGUACCUGACUAAGAAGCCCCGGCUAACUACGUGCCAGCAGCCGCGGUAAUACGUAGGGGGCAAGCGUUAUCCGGAUUUACUGGGUGUAAAGGGAGCGUAGACGGCACUGCAAGUCUGGAGUGAAAGCCCGGGGCUCAACCCCGGGACUGCUUUGGAAACUGUGGUGCUGGAGUGCAGGCGAGGUAAGUGGAAUUCCUAGUGUAGCGGUGAAAUGCGUAGAUAUUAGGAGGAACACCAGUGGCGAAGGCGGCUUUCUGGACUGUAACUGACGCUGAGGCGCGAAAGCGUGGGGAGCAAACAGGAUUAGAAACCCCGGUAGUCC